UACGAAGGGGGCUAGCGUUGCUCGGAAUGACUGGGCGUAAAGGGCGCGUAGGCGGAUGGCUUUGUCGGGCGUGAAAUUCCAGGGCUUAACCUUGGGGCUGCGUUCGAGACGGGUUGUCUUGAGUGGGGAAGAGGGUCGUGGAAUUCCCAGUGUAGAGGUGAAAUUCGUAGAUAUUGGGAAGAACACCGGUGGCGAAGGCGGCUCACUGGCCCGGUACUGACGCUGAGGUGCGAAAGCGUGGGGAGCAAACAGG
rnacentral:rRNA from 1 species